UAUCGCUGCCCUCCUUGGGCGUUUCCUCCCUAGACUUGGGCCGCUUGCGGCAAACGUAGGCGGCCCUUCUUUCUAGCGCUG
rnacentral:sRNA from 1 species